UACGUAGGGUGCAAGCGUUGUCCGGAAUUAUUGGGCGUAAAGAGCUCGUAGGCGGUUUGUCGCGUCUGCUGUGAAAACGCGAGGCUCAACCUCGCGCCUGCAGUGGGUACGGGCAGACUGGAGUGCGGUAGGGGAGAUUGGAAUUCCUGGUGUAGCGGUGGAAUGCGCAGAUAUCAGGAGGAACACCGGUGGCGAAGGCGGAUCUCUGGGCCAUUACUGACGCUGGAGGAGCGAAAGCGUGGGGAGCAAACAGG
rnacentral:rRNA from 1 species